rnacentral:lncRNA from 10 species
GCAGACAGCCCGGCGAACCGCGCAAUGCGCUUCUUCUGCCUGCAGCAGAGAAAAGGAAAGAAAACUCCGCAGGGGCUCCGUUGGCUUCUCCACGAGUGACAACCAUGUUUUCCCAGAUAGAAGACCGGAGCCCUGCUCCUUUGCGAUCCGCCGAGGGCUGCAGAGAGCAUCCUCAUCCAUUUGGGCACCCCUGCCCAGGAAGAGCCCGGCCAUCCCUUUCCGGACUGGAUCCUUAAGAGGUGAAUUUUCUUCCGUGGAUUCCGAUUUGCUCCGUCUGACCAGCCUAGGCAAUCCAGCAUCGCGUGGUACCAGUGCCGCUGGGCACACUGGCUUCACGCCGGCUCCGCCUCACCAGCAAGCGCAUUCCCAGAGGAGAAAAUGAGACACUGAGUGGGACUCAGGGAUUGCUCCAGGCCACACAGUCAGCAGGAGGCAAAGCCCAGAUUCAAAUGCAGAUUACUCAGCUCCACAAUCCACAUCCUCACAGGAGGCUGCACUCCUUGCCCAAGCGUCAGACAGGAGCAAAGAGAAAGAAGGCAACCAGCUGGCUACUUUCUUCCCUUCUUGGAUGCCUCCAACAGGGUGAGAAGGACUAAACAAAUGACCAAGUGUCAUCCCAUUUUGGACAUACUUAAAACACCCCAUGGAAUUUUUAUUCUGACUUUCUUCUGCCUGUGUGGCAUUUAUGUUUAAAUAAAAGAGAAUUCAACUCGUA